rnacentral:rRNA from 1 species
ACGCACGCUGGCGGCGUGCUUCACCCAUGCCAGGCGAACGGAAAGGCCCUGCUUUUGUGGGGUGCGCGAGUGGCGAACGGGUGAGGAACACGUGAGUAACCUGCCCUUGACUUUGGGAUAACUUCAUGAAACUGGGGCUAAUACCGGAUAGGAGCUCCUGCUGCAUGGUGGGGGUUGGAAAGUUUCGGCGGUUGGGGAUGGACUUGCGGCUUUUCAGGUUGUUGGGGGGGUAGUGGCUUACCAAGGCUUUGACGGGUAGCCGGCCUGGGGGGGUGACCGGCCCCAUUGGGACUGGGGUCCGGCCCAGACUCCUACGGGGGGCAGCAGUGGGGAAUUUUGCAAAAUGGGCGGAAGCCUGAUGCAGCAACGCCGGGUGCGGGAUGACGGCCUUCGGGUUGUAAACCGCUUUCGCCUGGGACAAAGCGGGAGUGACGGUAACGGGUAAAGAAGCACCGGCUAACUACGUG